rnacentral:rRNA from 1 species
UACGUAGGGUGCAAGCGUUGUCCGGAAUUAUUGGGCGUAAAGAGCUCGUAGGCGGUCUGUCGCGUCGGAUGUGAAAAUCCAGGGCUCAACCCUGGACCUGCAUUCGAUACGGGCAGACUAGAGUUCGGCAGGGGAGACUGGAAUUCCUGGUGUGGCGGUGAAAUGCGUAGAUAUCGAGAGGAACACCUGCGGCGAAGGCGGGUUGCUGGGCCGACACUGACGCUGAUGCGCGAAAGCCAGGGGAGCGAACGGG